rnacentral:rRNA from 1 species
UACGAGGGGUCCUAGCGUUGUUCGGAAUCACUGGGCGUAAAGCGUUUGUAGGCGGCUCUAUAAGUCGGGUGUGAAAUCCCAUGGCUCAACCAUGGAAGUGCAUUCGAAACUGCAGAGCUUGAAUAUGGUAGAGGAGAGUAGAAUUCCUGGUGUAGUGGUGAAAUACGUAGAUAUCAGGAGGAAUACCGGUGGCGAAGGCGGCUCUCUGGACCAAUAUUGACGCUGAGAAACGAAAGUGCGGGGAUCAAACAGG